CAUGGACUGCAGCCUACCAGGCUCCUCCGUCCACAGGAUUUUCUAGGCAAAAGUACUGGAGUGGGGUGCCAUUGCCUUCUCCGAUUGUCUUGUUAGAAAUGCGGAUUACCAAGCCCCGCCCAGACCUGCUGAAUCAGAAACUCAGGGUGGGGCCGUACUGACUGCUUGCCCAGGGCCUCCAGGUGAUCCUGAUGCACUGCUUAGGAAAACAACCCUGAGAGCCAGGUGAGGUGGGCGGAGUCUGGAGGAGGGAGAGCAUUGAAGGGCUUUUCGAACCACCUGAGUGGGGGCCAGGAGGCCACCUGGCCUGGGAAGGGGGCAGGAAGAGGCAGGCAGAUUUGGUUUACAGUGCCAGGACCUCUAGCUUUUCAUGAACCUGAGCCAGGGACUUCCCUUUCCUGGGCUUCAGUUUCUGCAUCUUCAGAGAGGAGUUUCAGCUGGAGGAAGAUGGGGCCCAGAAAAAUCCACCAAAAAAUUUGGACCUCCUGCCUUCUCUGUCUGAUUAACCCUAUGAGCAGCCCUGAGAAUCAGAAGGAAAAUAAGGUUCCACCCCUGCCUCUGGGAGCCCACGGACAGACUGUGUCACACUUCAGGCCGAGGCUUAGAAACGUUCUCUGAGAGCUGGAGGUGGGGGAGGCUCCUGAAAAGAAGGCUAAACAUGAUGUUGGAUCCCAUUUAUAUAAAGCCCCAAACAGACUACCCUCAUCUGUGGUGUCAGAAGUCAGGGAGGAGAUGGUGGUGGCCGGAAGGAACUUGAGGGGACUUCGGGGGAUUGAUCUGGGGCUGAUUACACAGGUGUGUUCUGAUUUUGAAAAUUAAAUCAAACCAUAUACUUA